rnacentral:rRNA from 1 species
UGAACGCUGGCGGCGUGCCUAAUACAUGCACGUCGAGCGAACGGACGAGAAGCUUGCUUUUCUGAUGUUAGCGGCGGACGGGUGAGUAGCACGUGGAUAACCUACCUAUAAGACUGGGAUAACUUCGGGAAACCGGAGCUAAUACCGGAUAAUAUUUUGAACCGCAUGGUUCAAAAGUGAAAGACGGUCUUGCUGUCACUUAUAGAUGGAUCCGCGCUGCAUUAGCUAGUUGGUAAGGUAACGGCUUACCAAGGCAACGAUGCAUAGCCGACCUGAGAGGGUGAUCGGCCACACUGGAACUGAGACACGGUCCAGACUCCUACGGGAGGCAGCAGUAGGGAAUCUUCCGCAAUGGGCGAAAGCCUGACGGAGCAACGCCGCGUGAGUGAUGAAGGUCUUCGGAUCGUAAAACUCUGUUAUUAGGGAAGAACAUAUGUGUAAGUAACUGUGCACAUCUUGACGGUACCUAAUCAGAAAGCCACGGCUAACUACGUG